rnacentral:sRNA from 1 species
UGCAGAUGCAAUGUGGCUCUGGAUAGCACCUUAUGGACAGUUGUGUCCCAAAGGAAGGAUGAGAAUAGCUACUGAAGUCCUAAAGAGCAAGCCUAACUCAAGCCAUUGGCACACCGGCAUUAGACAGAAAACUGGAAGUUGAAAUGGUGGAGUCCAACUUGUCUGGACCAGCUUAAUGGUUCUGCUCCUGGUAACGUUUUUAUCCACGGAUGGCUUGCUUGGGUAUGGAGAGUCGGCUUGACUACACUGUGUGGAGCAAGUUUUAAAGAAGCAAAGGACUCAGAAUUCAUGCUUGAAGAAAUGCAGGUUAGUUUAAACUUUUAAGGAAAUUUUUAAGGUGGCAAAAGGUUUUGGUGACAUAUACACCUUAAUCUGUAGAUGGGAGUGAUUAGCUGUUUAAAAGUUAAAAUGUGACUGAGAAGGAAAUUGAGUAGGGCAAAUUUUAAAUGGGUAUUAUUUUUCAUCUUCAAACAGGCAGACCUGUUAUCCUAAACUAG